UACGUAGGGUGCGAGCGUUAAUCGGAAUUACUGGGCGUAAAGUGUGCGCAGGCGGCCGCGCAAGUCGAGUGUGAAAUCCCCCGGGCUUAACUUGGGAAUUGCGCUCGAAACUACGUGGCUGGAGUGUGGCAGAGGAAGGUGGAAUUCCACGUGUAGCGGUGAAAUGCGUAGAGAUGUGGAGGAACACCGAUGGCGAAGGCAGCCUUCUGGGCCAACACUGACGCUCAUGCACGAAAGCGUGGGGAGCAAACAGG
rnacentral:rRNA from 1 species